UACCCGAUGAUGUGAAAACUUAGCUAAUUGUGAUGUCUCAAAUGAAUUUUGAGUUGAACGAACUAUCGUCGAAGCUGAACUGAGGGAU
rnacentral:snoRNA from 1 species